rnacentral:rRNA from 1 species
CCUACGGGAGGCAGCAGUGGGGAAUAUUGCGCAAUGGGCGAAAGCCUGACGCAGCGACGCCGCGUGAGGGAUGAAGGUCUUCGGAUCGUAAACCUCUGUCAGCAGGGAAGAACGGUCACUGUGCUAAUCAGCAGUGAAUUGACGGUACCUGCAAAGGAAGCACCGGCUAACUCCGUGCCAGCAGCCGCGGUAGUACGGGGGGUGCGAGCGUUAAUCGGAAUUACUGGGCGUAAAGCGCUCGUAGGCGGUAUGUCAAGUCAAGGGUGAAAUCCCCGCGCUCAACGUGGGAACUGCCUUUGAAACUGGCAAACUGGAGUGUGUGAGAGGAUAGUGGAAUUCCAGGUGUAGGGGUGAAAUGCGUAGAUAUCUGGAGGAACAUCGGUGGCGAAGGCGACUAUCUGGCACAUAACUGACGCUGAGGAGCGAAAGCGUGGGUAGCAAACAGGAUUAGAUACCCCUGUAGUC